AUGUCCAACAAUCCUGCAUCUUCUCUAGGUGCAAGCCGAGGCGCGUGGUUGGUGACCGCGUCGGCCAUCGUGGCUCCUGUCGUCGAGUCCGGGUCGCACAUCCUCCGUAUCGACGGCUACUCCCGCACCAAGGGGCUCGGCAAGGGUGAAUUCAUGGCGUCCGAGACGUUCGCGGCCGGAGGCAAUGGUUGGUGUCUGCGUUACUUCCCCGACGGAACUGACUCAAAUGAUUCAGAUUCCGAUUCUUCCGGUUCAGAUUCCGAUCCCGAUUAUAUGACCUUCUUAUUGAAUCUUGUUCGGGGUGAUGCCGAUAAAGUGGAAGCUAAAUACACUAUUAGUUUGCUCGACCAAGAUGGGAACCUGGUGCCGUCGUACAGCUAUACGGACCAGGACACCUUUGAAGCCGGCAGCGACAACGGUUCGUGGGGCUCUGAUCUCAUCAAGAAGAGCGAGCUGGAGGAAUCGGUCUACCUGAAGGAUGAUGUUUUCUUUGUCAGGUGUGAUGUCUCCGUGCUCAAAGAGAAGAUGUUCACCAAGGCUGUUCCGGUUUCUGAUGUUUUUCGUGCUGUCCUUAGACAGGACGGAUGA
rnacentral:rRNA from 1 species